rnacentral:rRNA from 1 species
GUCUACAGUCACACCACCCUGAACACGCCCAAUCUCAUCUGAUGUUAGAAGCUAAAUAGGGUCGGGCCUGGUUAGUACUUGGAUGGGAGAAAAUUAUUAUAGAAC